AAAUUGAAGAGUUUGAUCAUGGCUCAGAUUGAACGCUGGCGGCAGGCCUAACACAUGCAAGUCGAACGGUAACAGGAAGCAGCUUGCUGCUUCGCUGACGAGUGGCGGACGGGUGAGUAAUGUCUGGGAAACUGCCUGAUGGAGGGGGAUAACUACUGGAAACGGUAGCUAAUACCGCAUAACGUCGCAAGACCAAAGAGGGGGACCUUCGGGCCUCUUGCCAUCGGAUGUGCCCAGAUGGGAUUAGCUAGUAGGUGGGGUAACGGCU
rnacentral:rRNA from 2 species